AUGUUGUUUGGGCUGAGCUGGGCUUUCCUUUUUACUAUUUUAAGAGGUGUGCAGUAUGAGGUGCAGCUGGUAGAGUCUGGGGGAGACUUGGUACAGCUGUGGUGGGGUUGGGGGUGUCCUGAGACUCUCAUGUGCAGCCUGCGGAUUCAUCUUGAGAAGCAAUGACAUGAACUGGGCCCACCGGGCUUCAAGAAAGGGGCUGGAAUGGGUCUCAUACAUUAGUGCUAGUGGUGGUAGCCUAUACUAUGCAGACACUGAAGGGUAGAUUCACCAUCUCUAGAGACAAUGGCAAGAACAUGCUGUACUUGCAAAUGAACAGUCUGAGAGAUGAGGACUCGGC
rnacentral:lncRNA from 1 species